rnacentral:lncRNA from 1 species
UACUCUACAGUAACCCCUUAUACAAUUUGUUGGCAGAACAUGAAAAGAGUAAAUGCAAUGUUGCUUUUGCAUUUUGUUGACGCAUAAAAUGCCACAAGAUAUGAGAAGGAAAAAUAACAAACAUUCGGUAUAAAUAAAUUAGGAACCAACUUUGAUUUUCUUGGGUUUAGAUCUCUCAACUAUAUUGCCAUCAUAAGAAUUCCCGGAUCGUCCUCAAUGCUCUGUUGUCACUGUUGCACAAGCAAUAACAACAAAUUUAAUAAA